rnacentral:rRNA from 1 species
UAGCGGUGAAAGACGUAGAUAUAGGGCGGAACACCUAUCGCGAAUGCGGCUCUGUGUUGUGUAACAGACUAUGAGAUCGAAAGCGUGGGGAGCAAACAGGAUUUGAUAGUCAGGUAGUGCACACAGUAAACGAUGAGUGCUAGGUGUUGGGUCCUUUCCGGGACUCAGUGCCGCAGACACGCAUUAAGCACUCUGCCUGGGGAGUACGAAGGCAAGCUUGAAACUCAAAGGAAUUGACGGGGGCCCGCACAAGCGGUGUAGCAUGUGGUUUAAUUCGAAGCAACGCGAAGAACCCAAUCAGUUCUGGUCAUGCUUGGGACCGCUCUAGAGAUAGAGUUGUCGUUCGGUACAGAGGUGUCAGGUUGUGCAAAGUUGUCGUCACAGUGUGUCGUGAGAUGUUGGGCUAAGUUUCGCAUCGAGCGCAAGACCUAUUGUUAGUUGCCAUCAUUCAGUUGGGCACUCUAGCGAGACUCAGGGUAAUAAACCGGAGGAAGGGGGGGAUGACGUCAAAUCAUCAUAGGAGUUAUGACCUGGGCUCCACACCAGCUACAAUGGCUGGUACAUCGAGUCGCGAGUGGGUGGUGGCAAGCUAAUGUCGUAAAGCCAGUAUCAGUUUGGAUUGUAGCAGGCACAUCGGGUACAGGAACUAGGAAUCGUUAGUAAUCGCGGACCAGCAAGCCGCGGUGAAUACGUUUCCGGGCCUUGUACACACCGCCCGUCACACCACGAGAGUCAGUAACACCCGAAGUCGGUGAGGUAACCAUUUGGAGCCAGCCGCCUAAGGUGGGAUAGAUGAUUGGGGUGAAGUCGCAAGUUAGAGUUUGAUCCUGAGUCUUCAUCUUAGUCCUGGCUCGGUCUCC